GGGGAAUUUUCCGCAAUGGGCGAAAGCCUGACGGAGCAAGACCGCGUGGGGGAAGAAGGCUCUUGGGUUGUAAACCCCUUUUCUCUGGGAAGAAGAACUGACGGUACCAGAGGAAUAAGCCUCGGCUAACUCCGUGCCAGCAGCCGCGGUAAGACGGAGGAGGCAAGCGUUAUCCGGAUUUAUUGGGCGUAAAGCGUCCGUAGGUGGUUGUUCAAGUCUGCUGUCAAAGCGCGAGGCUUAACUUCGUAAAGGCAGUGGAAACUGAGCGACUUGAGAAUGAUAGGGGCAGAGGGAAUUCCCAGUGUAGCGGUGAAAUGCGUAGAGAUUGGGAAGAACACCGGUGGCGAAAGCGCUCUGCUAGACCACAACUGACACUCACAGGACGAAAGCUAGGGGAGCGAAAGGGAUUAGAUACCCCUGUAGUC
rnacentral:rRNA from 1 species